rnacentral:lncRNA from 1 species
UUACCAUUAUCUCAUCUGUAACUGAAACCAUAUUCAUUUGUCUUCCCAGGACAGGCCACUGAAGGAAGAAAAAGUAAAACAUUUUAUUUGUGAGUAAUACCAAGCUUGUUCAGUGUCUGCCAAGAUUUCACCAAGAAAGGAAUUACCAACAGUCAUCACAGUUAAAGAUGGACAAAGGCUGGAUUUGUCUGUGGUUUCGAGAUCUUCCAGAGAAAUGCGGCUAAGAACCAUUAAGUUCUACUUCAGUAUGAGGAGAAAUUGAUUGGGAUGAAAUCAGGCUUGAUAUUGCCAGACAUGUAAUAGAAUAAGCUCCAGGAAACCAUCCUUCUAGUGGGAAGGUGACAGAUGAAAAAGAAAAUAAAAA